rnacentral:rRNA from 1 species
UACAGAGGGUGCAAGCGUUGUUCGGAAUUAUUGGGCGUAAAGCGCGCGUAGGCGGCUUUGCAAGUCGAGUGUGAAAUCCCCAGGCUUAACCUGGGAACUGCAUUCGAGACUGCAUAGCUAGAGUAUGGGAGAGGGAAGUGGAAUUUCAGGUGUAGCGGUGAAAUGCGUAGAUAUCUGAAGGAACAUCAGUGGCGAAAAGCGACUUCCUGGACCAAUACUGACGCUCAUGUGCGAAAGCGUGGGGAGCAAACAGG